rnacentral:rRNA from 1 species
AACGAACGCUGGCGGCAUGCCUAACACAUGCAAGUCGAACGAGACCUUCGGGUCUAGCGGCGCACGGGUGCGUAACGCGUGGGAAUCUGCCCUUCGGUUCGGAACAACAGUUAGAAAUGACUGCUAAUACCGGAUGAUGACUUCGGUCCAAAGAUUUAUCGCCGAGGGAUGAGCCCGCGUAGGAUUAGCUAGUUGGUGGGGUAAAGGCCUACCAAGGCGACGAUCCUUAGCUGGUCUGAGAGGAUGAUCAGCCACACUGGGACUGAGACACGGCCCAGACUCCUACGGGAGGCAGCAGUGGGGAAUAUUGGACAAUGGGCGAAAGCCUGAUCCAGCAAUGCCGCGUGAGUGAUGAAGGCCUUAGGGUUGUAAAGCUCUUUUACCAGGGAUGAUAAUGACAGUACCUGGAGAAUAAGCUCCGGCUAACUCCGUG